rnacentral:other from 2 species
GGAUCUCUCGGAUAUACGCAGAAAUAUUUUGAGGAACCUGUCGAUAUUUAACUUGAUGAUUUUCCCAGUACAGACGUGGUGUGCAAGCCCUCCUUUGGAGAAGGAAGCCUUAAGCGUUUUCUGGGGAAAUGCUGAACACAAAGGGCAGAGAAUUCAAAAUUUAUGCGGUAUUCGGGAGCAGCU